rnacentral:lncRNA from 1 species
AUUUCAUUCCAAGUCCAGCCUUCAACCCCAGUGCCUGAGCAGGAGGGAGGGACAUUGCUCUGACUCUUGAGUUGCGAGGACUGGAAGACCUUCACUUUAGCCCUGCAAGCUCUGGCUUCCAGCACAGCUGAGAGGCCCCAGUGGCACAAGACUCCGAAGGCUUCUUUGAGCGAUCACAGGUUCUUGACCACUUGUCUGGGCACUGCUCCUGUCUCCUGGAGCUCAGGCUGGAUGGAGUCUCUCCCCUAGUUCAGGCUGCAGCCCCAGCCGCCACAGCUACAGCGGUGAGAGCAGGCUGGAUCCCAGAUCUGCAGGCGGGUGAGCAGGUGGAGCCCAGUGAAGAGAUGUUCCUGCUGCAGGCAAUUAUGCAAAAUGCUUGCUCUGUUGCCCAGGAUGGAGUGCAGUGGCGUGAUCGCAGCUCACUGCAACCUCCGUCUGCUGGAUUCAAGCGAUUCUCCUGCCUCAGCCUCCCAAGUAGCUGGCAUUACAGCACCUGCCACCAUGCCUGGCCAUGGCUCACCAAGAAACAACCACCUCCCGCCUCCACACACCCUGCAAAACUAAUUUGACUGAAAGAUGGUAAGUGUUCUCAAGAGAGGAUAUUUUCUUUGUUAUUGUCAAUUAGAAUUAAUGACUUUGAAAACAAGGUAGUCCAGUGUGUUAGAAGCUAAGAAAGAAACAUUCCUGAUAAUGUUGUUUAGAAUAAGAUACAACACAGGCAUAUUAAAUAUGCCCUUAAAGGGCAUGUCUUAAAAGGGUGUCUCAUAUAUUUUCCAAACUCUCAGGCUUACAUCAAUCACACUGAUGAUCAAGAGCGAAGAAAGGACGAGGAUGGGCAGAAACAUCACACAAUCACGAUGAGCAAUGCCUGACAUGACAAAGAGCAAAAAAAUGGUUAACAUAUGCAGAUAAUUAUCAAACAUUCCACACACAAUUAAUUUUUUCCAAAUGCUGUAGUUCGCAGAUUAAUUCCCAAUUAUGGUACAUUAAAAAAUCAACGAGCUGCAGGAGGCAGAAGUAACCAGCGACACAAACCAAAAGCACAGUUGAUUCUGCGGGUUCUUUUGAAGAGGAGGCUUUAGAAGUCUGGCAGGGAUAAGAAGGGCUAAAUGAAUCCCAGCCAGCCUACCCCUCAGUACCACAGUGACCACCAAGAAGAAGGCCUAAUGCAGAGCAGAGCAGAGAGCUCUGCAAACGGCAAUGCUUGGAACAGCAAUGCAGAAAUAAUUAGUGCCUUGUUUAAGAGCAUCUCAGGGGGCUUAACUGCUCUACCUCAUUUCUUCUUGUGUGGCCGAUUUAAAAAAAAAAAUUCCUUCAGUGCGACUGUCUGAAUGUUCAGAGGAGCAAGUGUUAGUUACCAAAUCUCCCAAAGUGACCUAUUCCCUUCUCACCUGCUUUGCAUGUCUAAGGCAGCCCUGCCAGCAGCAGAGCAAAGACCGCUUUGGCACCAGGAUGCUGUUAUUUUUGUUUUUUAAAAUAGAGAUGGAGUCUCGCUAUAGCCAGGCUGUUCUUGAAAUCCUGGCCUUAAGCAAUCCUCCUCCCUUGGCCUCCCUAAGCAUGGGGAUUACAGGUGUGAGCCACCUCGCUAGGCCCACUGAGGGUUGCUGUUUUUAAGAGAAAACCUCUGCACUUUGGCCAGGCCUCCUGAAGGCGACUGGAGAUAGCAGCUUAGCCCAUGAGGGGUUAACCUGCUGACCUGGCCAAGAAGGCACCUCGGGGAGAGCCCUCUUCUAACCAAAGAAAGGGACAAAGAACUAACUCUGGGUCAUGGUGUUUUGGUGGAGGACACAGAAACCUCCCUUUUGUCUUUCCUUCCACAGCACAUGCAGCACAGAGACAGGGCUGGAAGGCUGAGCAAGAGUCAGAGCUACAGUUGGAAGUAUUGGAAAGCGGCAGCGGAUUCUCGGGGUGAUGGGAAAAGCAAAAUCUGCUUCACUAAAACUCCGUCGGUGAUCAACUUUUUCAGCAGUCCUCCGAUUCCCGACUAGAAGGCAAAAGCCUGGCCCAGGCCACGGGAGGCACUUCACUAAAGAAGAAAAACCUGAGCUCCAGCAAGCUCAGUAACUUCAUCAGUCACCUAAUUGAACGAGAACCCAGAGCAACUCAGUCCAGGCUGCACAAAUUGAGUAGCACUGCUCUGCAGCUCGCUGCACUAAAAGUGGAAGAUAUUUUCCAUUACAGCAAGUGCUCCCACAGAAGGAUCACGAGCCACACACGGAGCCUUACUCUCCAAAUAGGCGCCCAUGGCCCAGUCGUCCCUUAGCCUAAGAACUCAGAGAGCCAGGCUGUAAUAAUGGGGCUGCCGUGUGAGCACAGCAGCCAUCGAGCUGCUCCGGUUCAUUUCCCAGAGGUUGAGCUGCAGUGUGUCCAGUAUUUAAAAGUAUGGAACUUGUUUCAGGGCUGACCCAUUCUUGCCCAAUUCAUCUUCCCCGUGUGAAGUUAUUUAGCAAACAGCCAAGUUCAGCUGGAAAUCGUUUUUCAUCCCCUCCAACUUCUAGUCACAUGGGCAGCUGGCCAGCUACAUGUUAACAAGCGCCUCAGAACUCCUAAGACACCACCGGCCUCUGUUCCCUUCAGUGCAUUCUUGUAAAUAAAUAAAUAAUAAAACCUGCCUUUACCACCCC